rnacentral:rRNA from 1 species
AGAGUUUGAUCCUGGCUCAGGACGAACGCUGGCGGCGCGCCUAACACAUGCAAGUCGAACGAGCGAGAGAGAGCUUGCUUUCUUGAGCGAGUGGCGAACGGGUGAGUAACGCGUGAGGAACCUGCCUCAAAGAGGGGGACAACAGUUGGAAACGACUGCUAAUACCGCAUAAGCCCACGGCUCGGCAUCGAGCAGAGGGAAAAGGAGCAAUCCGCUUUGAGAUGGCCUCGCGUCCGAUUAGCUAGUUGGUGAGGUAACGGCCCACCAAGGCGACGAUCGGUAGCCGGACUGAGAGGUUGAACGGCCACAUUGGGACUGAGACACGGCCCAGACUCCUACGGGAGGCAGCAGUGGGGAAUAUUGCACAAUGGGGGAAACCCUGCUGCAGCGACGCCGCGUGGAGGAAGAAGGUCUUCGGAUUGUAAACUCCUGUUGUUGAGGAAGAUAAUGACGGUACUCAACAAGGAAGUGACGGCUAACUACGUGCCAGCAGCCGCGGUAAAACGUAGGUCACAAGCGUUGUCCGGGAUUACUGGGUGUAAAGGGAGCGCAGGCGGGAAGACAAGUUGGAAGUGAAAUCCAUGGGCUCAACCCAGGAACUGCUUUCAAAACUGUUUUUCUUGAGUAGUGCAGAGGUAGGCGGAAUUCCCGGUGUAGCGGUGGAAUGCGUAGAUAUCGGGAGGAACACCAGUGGCGAAGGCGGCCUACUGGGCACCAACUGACGCUGAGGCUCGAAAGUGUGGGUAGCAAACAGGAUUAGAUACCCUGGUAGUCCACACUGUAAACGAUGAUUACUAGGUGUUGGAGGAUUGACCCCUUCAGUGCCGCAGUUAACACAAUAAGUAAUCCACCUGGGGAGUACGACCGCAAGGUUGAAACUCAAAGGAAUUGACGGGGGCCCGCACAAGCAGUGGAGUAUGUGGUUUAAUUCGACGCAACGCGAAGAACCUUACCAAGUCUUGACAUCCUGCGACGCACAUAGAAAUAUGUGUUUCCUUCGGGACGCAGAGACAGGUGGUGCAUGGUUGUCGUCAGCUCGUGUCGUGAGAUGUUGGGUUAAGUCCCGCAACGAGCGCAACCCUUAUGGUCAGUUACUACGCAAGAGGACUCUGGCCAGACUGCCGUUGACAAAACGGAGGAAGGUGGGGAUGACGUCAAAUCAUCAUGCCCUUUAUGACUUGGGCUACACACGUACUACAAUGGCGUUAAACAAAGAGAAGCAAGACCGCGAGGUGGAGCAAAACUCAGAAACAACGUCCCAGUUCGGACUGCAGGCUGCAACUCGCCUGCACGAAGUCGGAAUCGCUAGUAAUCGCAGAUCAGCAUGCUGCGGUGAAUACGUUCCCGGGCCUUGUACACACCGCCCGUCACACCAUGAGAGCCGGGGGGACCCGAAGUCGGUAGUCU